rnacentral:tRNA from 1 species
GGGGGCAUAGCUCAGUUGGGAGAGCAGUAGACUGAAGCGUCUCUUCAAGAUGUGUUCUAAAGGUCCCGCGUUCGAUCCGCGGUGCCCCCA